GUUUAUUAGAACAACAGGUGGGGAAACACACCCAACGAAGUCGCCACACACAGGGAAAUAAACGUAACACACGGAGGAGAAACCUCUACUCCUAAAUAAACUAUAACGGUACAAUACGACCGUGAGAACAAAAAACCCUGUGGCGCAAACAUGCACCCCUAGCAGAGCAACAACAGCAAAUAAUCCCCCACAAAGAAUAGCAGGCAGCGGGGUUAAUAAACCCACCGAAAUUAACUAAUAGGACACAGGUGUAAAGCAAAACAGACAGACAAACGAAAAGGAAAAAUGGAUCGGUGGCAGCUAGUAGGCUGGCGACGACGACCGCCGAGCAUCGCCCGAACAGGGAGAGGAGCCACCUUCGGUGGAAGUCGUGACAAUAUUCUUCUGGGUUAGUCCAAGUGGCAACCAGGAAGAAGCUGGCCAAGACAGAGCAUCAGAAUCAGUGCAAGAUCUGCCAUCCCUGCUUCAUAAGCAUGUGGCUUCUGAGAUGCCUGCUGGACACAUUAAAGAUCUUCAAGCGUUGGAGAUGAGGAUAAUGGUGAAACUGGAGAUGAUCCGUACAGAGUUCAGGACUGCUCUGAACCAAGUUAUGGAGGGCCAUAGAGGCCCGGCAGACAAAGGAGUCAGAGUCCUUGAGACAACUUGAAAUGCUGCAAAACCCUGCAGAAUAAAAUGAGGAACUGAAGGAUAUCUGUGAAACACUUAAAGACUCCCACUAUCGAAAGAAAAUUUAAAAUGUAUCCAUUUGUAAAAAAAAUGUCAUCUAUAUCACGUAUUUGAACAGCAAUUGACAAAAACAAGUUAGCUGUUUAUCAAGAGCCACUUGAAUGCUACCAGAUUUGAGAGAAGAUUGCAACCUGCAAUGUCAUUGAAUCCAAAUAUCUUAAAAGUCUAGUGUAGCCUGAAUUUAAGCUUAAGAAGACAAUUAGUGAGGCCCAUCGCAGGAGAUGAAAAGCAGAUACAGGGAGUGAACCAUUUAAUACAGACGGACAUGCAACGUAACAGGGACAGUGUCUGGCCAUAGACACGACACGACAAACAAUGCUACUACAGGGAACAACAGAGGAGCAGACAUAUAUGCAGGGGCAAUCAACAAAGUGAGGGAGUCCAGGUGAGUCCAAUGAGUGCAGCUGCGCGUAAUGAUGGUAACAGGUGCUUAUGAUGAUGGGUAGCCUGGCGCCUUUGAGCGCCAGGGAGGGGGAGCGGGAGCGGGAGCAAGCGUGGCACAAUAAGAUCACAGCCUCUGCAACUCAAACAAGCCAACAGAAGAGCAACAAGCAUAAUGACACUAACUCAAGACCAAAUGGGCAACCUGAAUGAGGAACCCCAACUCAACAAGAAAGGACACACAGCCAUCUUCUUCCUUUGUUCGCGUCCAUGCGGCCUGAACCAUCAAGAAGCCACAACAGACGUUGAUCACAGACAGAUUAGAACAUAAUUUAAUGUUCAGGAUCUCCAGGUCUUCAAUUCUUGUCUUUCAUUCUAUUUCCUACCUUUUGAUGAUCAUUCUCAUUAUGUUUAAAUAUUUAGAUUAGCGUUGAUUGCAUAAAUCAAUUGUUUGUCUUGUUAUUCUGGUAAAG
rnacentral:lncRNA from 1 species